rnacentral:rRNA from 1 species
AAGCGGCGGAGCAUGCGGAUUAAUUCGAUGCAACGCGAAGAACCUUACCAAGGCUUGACAUACACCGGUAACGCCCAGAGAUGGGUGCCCCUUUGUGGUCGGUGUACAGGUGGUGCAUGGUUGUCGUCAGCUCGUGUCGUGAGAUGUUGGGUUAAGUCCCGCAACGAGCGCAACCCUCGUCCUAUGUUGCCAGCGGGUCAUGCCGGGGACUCAUGGGAGACUGCCGGGGUCAACUCGGAGAAGUGGGGAUGACGUCAAAUCAUCAUGCCCCUUAUGUCUUGGGCUUCACGCAUGCUACAAUGGCCGGUACAAAGGGCUGCGAUACCGCGAGGUGGAGCGAAUCCCAGAAAGCCGGUCUCAGUUCGGAUUGGGGUCUGCAACUCGACCCCAUGAAGUCGGAGUCGCUAGUAAUCGCAGACCAGCAACGCUGCGGUGAAUACGUUCCCGGGCCUU